UUUAUGGAGAGUUUGAUCUUGGCUCAGGACGAACGCUGGCGGCGUGCCUAAUACAUGCAAGUCGAGCGCAGGAAGCAAACUGACCCCUUCGGGG
rnacentral:rRNA from 1 species